rnacentral:lncRNA from 10 species
UUUGCAGCAUGUACCUCUCCAUAGGGCAGGAAACACAUGGCAGCUGGGUUCAGCACAGCAAGCAAGAGAGAAUGUGUAAGAAAAUGCUAGCAAGAUGAGAGCCAUGGUGUUUUGGUAACCUAAAUACAGUUUGCCUUUUGUGUUUGUGGAUUCCUGUGUAUGGAUUUAAUCAACCACUAAUCAACAGUAGAGACUCCAAAAAGCGGUAAAGAAGAAGGGGGACAAGGACUAAAAACUACCUACUGGGUAUUAUGUUUACUAUUUGGCCGGUGUGUUCAAUAGAAGUCCAAACCCCAGGAUUACACAAAAUAUUCAUGUAACAAAUCCAUACAUAUAUUCCCUG